AUUGAACGCUGGCGGCAUGCCUAACACAUGCAAGUCGAACGGGUAACAGGCCCUUCGGGUGCUGACGAGUGGCGGAUGGGUGAGUAAUACUUAGGAAUCUACCCUGUAGGUGGGGACGAACCCGGGGAACUCGGGCUAAUACCGCAUACGCUCUACGGAGGAAGGCGGGGACCGCAAGGCCUCGCGCUAUUGGAUGAGCCUAAGCCCGAUUA
rnacentral:rRNA from 1 species